rnacentral:rRNA from 1 species
UGGGGAAUAUUGCACAAUGGGCGCAAGCCUGAUGCAGCCAUGCCGCGUGUAUGAAGAAGGCCUUCGGGUUGUAAAGUACUUUCAGCGGGGAGGAAGGGAGUAAAGUUAAUACCUUUGCUCAUUGACGUUACCCGCAGAAGAAGCACCGGCUAACUCCGUGCCAGCAGCCGCGGUAAUAAGGAGGGUGCAAGCGUUAAUCGGAAUUACUGGGCGUAAAGCGCACGCAGGCGGUUUGUUAAGUCAGAUGUGAAAUCCCCGGGCUCAACCUGGGAACUGCAUCUGAUACUGGCAAGCUUGAGUCUCGUAGAGGGGGGUAGAAUUCCAGGUGUAGCGGUGAAAUGCGUAGAGAUCUGGAGGAAUACCGGUGGCGAAGGCGGCCCCCUGGACGAAGACUGACGCUCAGGUGCGAAAGCGUGGGGAGCAAACA